ensembl:lncRNA
GCAUGGUCUUUGGAGGGCUGUGGUUAAAAUUUAUGCAUUACCAGAAAGAGGAGCAGGCAGACCACGUCUACAGGGUCAGGCCUUUAUUGAUUUAAUAAACACAUACUCCGCGCUAGGCUCUGUUCUAAAUUCUUGAGCAAAUUCUCACUGACUCUUACCUGUUAUUCCUCAUUUUACAGGUGAGGGAACCUAGGCUCAGGAAAGUUGGUCAUGUAUUUGUGAGGAGCAGAGUCAACAUUCAGCCAGUUACCAAGACAGAAACCUUGGAUUUGAAUCAGAGCAGCCUGGCCGAAGACUCUGGAUGACUAUAGGUCUCACUAUGUAGCCCAGGCUGGCCUUAAACUCAAGGUGAUCCUCCUGCCUCAGCUCCCAAGUGCUAGGAUUACAGGUAUGCACCACCAUGCCCAGCAAUAUUGGUUAACCUCUAAGGGAGGCUCCACUCAGAUAUUUAUUUAUGACUCUAACAACAAACACACUGAACAUUACUGAAC